GGUGAAACCGCGAAUGGCACAUUAAAUCAGNUAUUANCUACUGGCCGAGACAGUGAUNCAUGGAUAACUGUGGUAAUUCUAGAGCUAAUACAUGCAACCGAGCCCUAGUCCUGGCUCUCGGGUCAGGCGGGGCGCUUUUAUUGGCUGAAAACCGAUGAUCGNCCUCGUGGCGGUCGUUAUUCGAUGAAUCACAAUAACAUUGUGUGGAUCGUAUGGUCUUGUACCGACGACGCGCCUUUCAAAUAUCUGCCUUAUCAGCUCUCGACGGUUUGCUAGUGGCUGACCGCGGCUCUGACGGGUAACGGGGAAUCUGGGUUCGGUUCCGGAGAGGGAGCCUGAGAGAUGGCUACCACAUCUAAGGAAGGCAGCAGGCGCGUAACUUACCCACUCCCAGUUCAGGGAGGUAGUGACAAUAAAUACCUUACAGAGGUCUCGUUAACCGAGAUCUCUCAAACGGAAUGAGUACAACGUGAAUCCUUUAACGAGGAUCGACUGGAGGGCAAGCCUGGUGCCAGCAGCCGCGGNAAUUCCAGCUCCAGUAGCGUAUAUUAAAGCUGUUGCGGUUAAAAAGCUCGUAGUUGGAUAUCAGUGCGUGUCCGGUCCGGUAUGCCCGGGGGCGGCGCUCGCGCGUCACUGCUGGGCUCCCAAAUAUCGGNUGGCCGCAUUCAAUCGUGCCGGAUCCGUCGACGGGCCGCUCUUCGGAGGGGCCUGUUGGCGACCGGCGACGUUACCUUGAACAAAUUAGAGUGCUCAAAGCAGGCUCUUUAUGCCUGUAUACAUAUUCAUGGAAUUGGAGAAUACGUCCCUGGCUCGAUUUGGUUGGUUUUGAGAGUCGAAGGGAAAUGAUUAAUAGGGACUGACGGAGGCAUUCGUAUUGCGACGCGAGGGGUGAAAUCCUGUGACCGUCGCACGACGAACUACUGCGAAAGCAUUUUCCGAGAAUGUUUUCAUUAUUCAAGAGCGAAAGUUAGAGGUUCGAAGACGAUCAGAUACCGCCCUAGUUCUAUCCGUAAACGAUGUCGACCAUCAAUCCNCAACGGUCACUACACGGACUGUGCGGGCAGCUUCCCCGGAGAAACCAGAGUGUAUGGACUCCGGGGGAAGUAUGAAGGAUUGACAGACUGAUAGCUCUCUCUUGAUUCAGUGGGUGGUGGUGCAUGCCCGUUCUUAGUUGGUGGAGUGAUUUGUCUGGUUUAUUCCGAUAACGAACGAGACUCUGCCCUAUUAAACUUGUCUCCGUCAGUCUCUUGUGACUGCGGUGCGCUUCUUAGAGGGAUCAUCGGCGUCCCAGCCGAAGGAAAGGGAGCAAUAACAGGUCUGUGAUGCCCUUAGAUGUUCUGGGCUGCACGCGUGUUACACUGAAGUGGUCAGCGCGCCGUUCAACGUCCCACUCCGUGAGGAGCGGGCAAACGUUUGAACCCUUUUCGUGAUGGGAAUUGGGGGUUGCAAUUGUCCCCCAUGAACGAGGAAUUCCAAGUAAGCGCAGGUCACUAGCCUGCGUUGAUUAAGUCCCUGCCCUUUGUACACACCGCCCGUCGCUACUACCGAUGGAUGAUUUGGUGAGAUCGCCUAGACUGGCAGCUGGCUUCGGCCGUNCUNCCGGGAAGACGCUCAAACUUGGUCGUCUAGAGGAAGUAAAAGUCGUAACAAGGUUUCC
rnacentral:rRNA from 1 species